UCCAUAAGCCAGAUGGAUGAAUUGCUCAGGAAGUAUCCGAUAUCCGAACCGGAAAAUGAGUCCAUAUCCGAUAUUGUCGACUCGUUAAGACUCAAAUUUAGGGCGAUUUGUGCCACGCUGAAUGUGAAAUUGGAGUAUAAUGGGUACCCUAAAGCCUCUGGUGCUGAAAACAUGGAAUUUUGAAAUUUUGUUCCAUUGACCGUGAGAGGCUGAGUUACCAGAUUGGGCAAUCUGUUACCUGCCGAUUGGGCCAUUGUCAUGUCAAUUUUGUAUAUUCUACUCAAACCAAAGUCCUUCCAGUUUCUGAUGCCAUAUUUGCUUUGUAAGAACACCAUGUCUGUUACCAAAUUCAAUGCGUUGGUUUCCAUGUUGUUUAUGAGUGGUAGUUGCACUAAAAAGAAAAGGUUCGAGCAUCAGAAUCUGACUUGCUAAGCCUUGCUGAGAGGGAAAUCCGAAACUUUAAAUGAAGAGAGAUUUCAAAGAAGACUUCCUGAACUGGUUCAGAAAUUCUUCGCGAGUUAAAAGAGCGAAAGGGCCCUCUGUUUUUUAGCUGAAAAACCGAACUUAUGGGAAGAAAGUUGCCUUUGCUCAUCUUCUGCUGACUGCUGUUGCAAGAAGCUCAAUAUCUGCACAUGGGAUUCAUCUGUAUUAAUUGCUGUAUUAAUUUAUCUGAGAUCAAAAGGUCAUCUUAUACCUAUAUCCGUUCUUUCCAACCUCACACAUCAGAAUGCCCUGUUCUUAUAGAGAGAAACGUGCUUUCGCAUCUUCGUGACCCUGAAUGAAAUGGCUGGAGAGAGGAAUGGUGAUUUAGUUUUGAUUUCUUCUUUUCGAUUUUCUAAUAUUGUCCAAUCCAAUAGUGCCAAUAAAGUUUAUUUGAAGCUUGAUUCAUCAUGUAGGCAAUCUCGGGGGAGACAUGAGAGUUUAGAGGUAGCAAAAUAGGUAGAUCAAUUCAGUCAUUUUAGUGCCAUCCCGCUGUUUCUCCUUGAUUUCUGGUUUUUCGGCUUGAUCACCAAAAUCGUAUUCCCCAAGAACUUGCUUUGCCAAAUUCUAAUUGGUAAGGUUUUUACUCUCUAUUGUGGUGCAACUUGUACAAAGGAUAUUUUUAUGAUUUUAGAGUGCUUAUACGUCUAAGAAUUUGGUAUAUUAUUCACUUCA